rnacentral:lncRNA from 1 species
UUUUUUUUUUUUUUUUUUUUUAAUGGCCAUGGACGCAGCAUAUGGAAGUUUCCAGGUUGAAUCCAAGCCACAGCUGCAGUGACACCAGAUCCUUAACCCAUUGUGCUGGGCUAGGGACCAAAGCCACAUCUCUGCAGCUACCUGAGCUGCUGCAGUCAGAUACUUAACCCACUGCACCACAGCAGGAACUCUAAUACAUACUUUUAUAGUGACACCUUCAUUCUCUGUAAUUAGUGCCCAUGAAUUAGGGCUCUUUCUGGUCCUGGCAGGUGACAUAAGUUGGGAUUCCUAAGAAAAGGACUCAGAUUUCUGUGCUAGAGGUUUAUUGUGAUGAACCCUUGGGAACAUCCCCUGUGAGAGGUGACAGGAACAGGUUGGGGCAGAGGAAGAAAGGAGCUGUACCACAGUUCCAACAGAGGCCUCAGCUAGUCCUGUAGGGGCUCUGGAGCAGGGAUGGCCCUUCGGAGAUGCUCCCCAGCUUCAGUCAAGGGAGCCAGGGCUUUAUACCCACCUACCCCAAACAAUCAGUCAAUAAAUAGGGGCUGCCCCUGGGAAGGGGGCUAAGAGCAAUUGAACUGAAAACUGUCAGCCACCAACAGUCCCUGCUUCUGGAAGAUCAAGCACCUCAGUACUGAAGAGGAAAUCUGAGCAACACACCACAGCAUCCACAGUAGGAAAGAAGGCAUACUUCCCCCAUUGCAUCCCUUAUUUUUGGCUCCUCUGAUGCUGCCUCUCUUGCAGAAGCUACCGGUUUUAAAAACCAUGAAACAAUGUCACCUUACCAUCUUGUUUUCCCUGUGUUAAAAGCUAAUGGAAAAAUGCCUGGGCACUUCCUGCAGAUGAGUUUUGUUUCCAGUUGAUUUCUGAUAUGUUUAUUUUUUAUAUUAUAGGAGAACUUGCUUGUGCUUAAGCAUCUCAGGUACAAAGAUGAAGCAUUUCCAUUGUUGAAUGAUGCUCCAAAACUUUUUGGCACAGUUGGAGAUUGUUUAUACGAGCACAUCAAAUAGGGCAACUUUUAUAAAAAGAAAAGCCACUGGGGACCAUACCCCACAGCAUAUGAAGGUUCUCAGGCUAGUUGAAUCAGAGCUAUAGCCACUGUCCUACAUCACAGCCACAGCAACACCAGAUCCGAGCCACAUCUGCCACCUACACCACAGCUCACAACAACACCAGAUCCUUAACCCACUGAGUGAGGUCAGGGAUCAAACCUGCGUCCUCAUGGAUAUUAGUCAGAUUCAUUUCCGCUGAGCCACGAUAGGAACUCCCAAAGAACUUUUAAAAAUUUAUAUUUUUGCCUGACUUUGCCUUUUAUAUUCUGUGCUACGGAUGUCCUUCUUAAUUUUUUUUUUUCCAGUUUCAGCUACGGGCAUCACUUUUCACACUUAUAGUAAUUUGACUAAUUCUACUUGCUGAAUGUCUUUUGGAUGCAUUCCCUUUUCUCCAUCCCAGUGCUGCAGACCAAGCUGUCAUCAUUUCUCACCUAGCUCGAUCCAGUAGCUUAAGAUGGGGAUCCUUCCAUGAGAUGCAUCUUCCACACUUGGCUGCCAGAUUGAUCUUCUGGAUAUGCCAAUCCAAGCAUCACCACACCCACCCCUCAAAAUUCCCAUUUGUUAGCCUUCCAUAUAAAGCCUUUGGUGAUUGGGCCAUAGCCUGCUUCUCAGCCUGAGCCCUGACCAUACUCUCCAUGUAUGAACCUACCCUCUUCUUUCAUGCACUACAGCUUUGCCUCUAAUAUCUGUUCUACAUUCACAUGCCUUUCCCCCACUUUCCUGCCUGGAAGAAUAUCUUUAAUGACCCAGUUCUGAUGGGGCUUUGGUGACUGCUCACCAGCUUUCACAGAGCUCCUCGCUUCCCAUUUCUUCUCCCUUAGUGUUUUGAAUCUAGUAACAAACACCCUGAGCUAUUGGUGUUUAGAAUGGAGCUAUUCUAGACAUGAUAUCUAAGGGGCAAUGAUCACAUCUUGUACUUUUUCGCAUCGUCAACAUUUGGCAAGAUGUCUCCGGGACUAGUAGAAUCCAGUCUCCUUGAGAAUGUGGAGGAAGCAAACUUUAGAUAGCAGUGAAUAUUAUGUUUGACUUUGAAGAAUGUUCUAAAGACUUCUUGUAUUUAGCAUUAUGAUAUUUCUCUGACACAUGGGCACAUGAUAUCCGUUGCUUUAUAAGGUUAUUACUAUAGUAAGAUAAAAGGAGUUACCAUUUUCUUUAUUUUUAAAAAAUUUUUAUUAUAGUUGAUUUACAAUGUUCUGUGAAUUUCUGCCAUACAACAAAUUGAUCCAGUCGUACAUAUAUAUACACAUUCUUUUUCUCAUAUUAUCUUCUAUCAUGUUCUAUCACAAGUGAUUAGAUAUAGUUCCCUGUGCUAUACAGCAGGAUCUCAUUGCUUAUCCAUUGUAAAUGUGACAGUUUGCAUCUACUAACCCCAAACUCUCAGUCCAUCCCAUUCCCUCCCCCUCAGCAACCACAGUCUGCUCUCCAUGUUUGUGAGUCUGUUUCUGUCCCAUAGAUAGGCUCAUCUGUGCCAUAUUUUAGAUUCCACAUAUAAGUGAUAUUGUGUGGUAUUUGGGGAGAUAGUGUUUUGAAGCAUUUUCUUGGUGGAAAGAACUUCUAAUUGAUCCUAAGUAAUGGUGUGUCUCUUGGCAGGCAGUUGAAAGUGAUUUUUACAUUCUUGUUUGCUGGUAAGGAUAUAGAUACAGACAAAAGCACUAUAAUAGCUUGAUUAUGAGCACUUCAGUCAGUGUAUCUCUGUUUUGUCUUUUUUUCCAGUGUUACUGAUUAGGUACCUUUUUGAUGCUUUUUCCAUAGGCAGAGUGAAGUAGAACCAAUUAAUCUGACAGUCAGUAGAAGAACCAAACUCAUGUAACUGAGACAAGAAAGUAACUACAAUUUAUGGAUAUAUGUGGCCAUUCAUCUUGUGGUUUAUUUAGAGAAAAUACUAAACACAGAGCCCAUGUUUAUUUAUUCUCAUUUUUGCUGUGUCUUCUAAAAAAGUGUCCUGGGAUAAAGUACUGUUUUCUGCCCUAUCUAAAGAAAACGAGUUUAACCAUAUUUCCUGUAUCCUUAUAAGGCAAACAAGUUGAUGUGAAUGUAAUAGCUGUUUCUAACAGUUUGUGAGUUGUGAGCCCAGAUUAAAUGAUCGUGGGCUUUCAUUUUUUUGUUUGUUUGUUUUGGUUGUAAUCGAUGUUCUGUGUGGUCUUACUCAGUUUUUCAUUUGCAUUGCUCUCAGAUUUCUAUUUUAUGAUCAAAAGAAGACACAUCAGCUUUCUUGACUGGUAGGUAAAACAGCACACUUGACUGCAACCUAAAGUUCUAGUGUGGAUUCUACCUCUCACUAGCUGGGAGAUCUUCAGCAGGGAGACCUUAUGGAUAUCAGCCUCCAUUUCUUUAUCUGUUUUUCUUUGCAGCAUAUGGAAGUUCCCAGGCUGGGGGUCAAAUCUGAGCUGUAGCCACCAACCUACAUAACCACAGCCAUAGCAACACUAGAUCCCAGCCACAUCCUCCACCUAUACUGCAGUUUGCGGCAGCACUGGAUCCUUUAACCCACUGAGCGAUGCCAGAGAUUGAACCCGCAUCCUUAUGGACUGUAGUCAAGUUUGUUUGCGCUGAGCCGCAAUGUGAACUCCCAUGUGAUUCUUAGUUUAUGGGAAGUCAAGAAAGUCGACAUCAGAUCUUCCUUGAUUAAUCCAGUCCAUAGAUAAUUACUCAGUCCUACCCCCAUCUCUCCUUCCUCUGAGCUGCUACUGAAGUAUAUCAGGCUAUACAGUCUAACUCAUAUUAGUCCUCUGAUGGUAAGCUCUAGGAAGGCAGGGUUCCACAUAUGAAAUUUCAUACCCUCCCUUCCCUCCCUGGCCCCACCCUGGCCAACUCCCAGAUCUAGGCCUUUGUUGUAGAAUCAAUUAAUAUAUGUUAGCUAAAGAAGGAAGCUCAGGGACUCUACAGCUGUCUAUUAAGAACUGAUUUUUUUUACGAUACAGAGAAAAAAAGGUCAUUUGGCAAGAAUUUCCUUUGAUAACUUCCCCCUCCAAUACAUACAUCUAAAA